AACCUGCCCCAUAGUCUGGGAUACCACUUGGAAACAGGUGCUAAUACCGGAUAAGAAAGCAGAUCGCAUGAUCAGCUUUUAAAAGGCGGCGUAAGCUGUCGCUAUGGGAUGGCCCCGCGGUGCAUUAGCUAGUUGGUAAGGUAAAGGCUUACCAAGGCGAUGAUGCAUAGCCGAGUUGAGAGACUGAUCGGCCACAUUGAGACUGAGACACGGCCCAA
rnacentral:rRNA from 1 species